UAAUUUAAUUAUUAUUAAUAUUUUUAGUUUAAAUUUAUUUAUAAUAAAAAUAUUUUUAUUAUUGAUUUAAGUCUUAGUAUUUAAUUAGAAUUGAUUUUUAAAAUUAUAAUUUAAUAGUAAAGUAAUUGAAUUAUGAAAUAUUUUUAUUAUUAGUAAAAGUAUUUUUUAUUUAGAGUACCUUUUGUAUCAGGGUAAAUUAAAAUUAUUGUAUUUAUUUACUUAUCUCGAUUUAGUUUGAUUUAUAUUUUUAUAAGGGUUAAUGUUUAAUAAUUAUCUUUAAUAAUUAUAUAGAAAUGAUAUGUUAUUCGUUUACUAAGAUAUCUAGUUUCUCAAGAAAAAAUUUAAUUUUUUUAUUUUUAUUGAUUUAAUUUACUUUUUUAAUUUAAAUUAUAAAACUAUUUAAUUGUUUAGGGGAUAAGCUCUAAAUUUAAAUUUAUCCUAUAAUUUUUAUUAAUAAAUUUAAUAGUAGGCUUUAAACCAGUUAUCUAUUGGAUUACGUUUUAGUUCAUUAUUUUUAUUUUUGAUUUUAUAAUUAUUUUAGGGUUUUUAUUGGGAUAAUUAAAUCAAUUUUUAAUUUAUUGAAAUAAUGAUUUAAUUAGUAUAAUGUUUUGUUAUUUAAAUGUUUAUUUAUAAUUUAAUAUAAGGAAUUAGGCAAAUUAUUUUGGUUCUCGCCUGUUUAACAAAAACAUGUCCUUUUGAUAUUAAUUUAAGGUCUGACCUGCUCACUGAUUUUAUUAAAUAGCCGCGGUAUUUUGACCGUGCAAAGGUAGCAUAAUCAUUAGUUUCUUAAUUAGAAUCUAGUAUGAAUGGUUUAACGAGGAAUCAACUGUCUCUUAUUAAUCUAUAGAAUUUAUCUUUUAAGUCAAAAGACUUAAAUAUUAUUUUAGGACGAGAAGACCCUAUAGAGCUUGAUAUUUUAUUUUUAAUUAAUGUUUAGUUAAUUUUGUGAUUAAUUAGACCAUAUUUUGUUGGGGUGACAUAAAGAAUAAUUAAACUCUUUAUUAUUUAAUCAUUAAUUUAUGUUUAUUUGAUCCAUAUUUUAUGAUCAUAAGAUUAAGUUACCUUAGGGAUAACAGCGUAAUUACUUUUAAGAGUUCUUAUUGACAAAGUAGAUUGCGACCUCGAUGUUGGAUUAAGAAAAAUUUUGGGUGCAGUAACUCAAUAAUUAGGUCUGUUCGACCUUUAAAUUCUUACAUGAUCUGAGUUCAGACCGGCGUGAGCCAGGUCGGUUUCUAUCCUAAAUUAAUUUAUUCAAAUUAGUACGAAAGGACCAUUUGAAUAAAAUAUUUUUUUGUGUUGAAUUUUAUUAAUUUGUUA
rnacentral:rRNA from 1 species